rnacentral:rRNA from 1 species
UGAGUACGAGAUGCUACGGCAUCGAAGCAGUCUAUGUCAUACUUCCAAGAAAAGCUUGCACUGUCAGAAACAGAUAAUGCCUGUACCAUAACCGACACAGGUGGGUAGGUAGAGUAUACUAAGGGGCGCGAGAUAACUCUCUCUAAGGAACUCGGCAAAAUGACUCCGUAACUUCGGGAGAAGGAGUGCCUUAUUUUUAAGGUUGCAAUAACAAGAUCCAAGCAACUGUUUACCAAAAACACAGGUCUCCGCUAAGUCGUAAGACGAUGUAUGGGGGCUGACGCCUGCCCAGUGCCAGAAGGUUAAAGAAGUCGGUUAGCAUUCGCGAAGCUGGUAACUGAAGCCCUGGUGAACGGCGGCCGUAACCAUAACGGUCCUAAGGUAGCGAAAUUCCUUGUCGGGUAAGUUCCGACCCGCACGAAAGGCGUAAUGAUUUGGAUACUGUCUCGGAGAGGGGCUCGGUGAAAUAGACUUGUCUGUGAAGAUGCGGACUACCUGCACCUGGACAGAAAGACCCUAUGAAGCUUUACUGUAACUUGAAAUUGAAAUUGGACUUUAUUUGCGCAGUAUAGGUGGGAGGCGUUGAAAAUAUUCUUGCGGGAAUAUUGGAGCCACCAGUGAGAUACCACUCUUGUAAUGUUAGAUUUCUAACUUUAUAUCAUUAUCUGGUUAAAGAACAGUUUCAGGCGGGCAGUUUGACUGGGGCGGUCGCCUCCCAAAUGGUAACGGAGGCGCACAAAGGUUUCCUCUGAACGGGUAGAAAUCGUAUCUAGAGUGUAAAGGCAUAAGGAAGCUUGACUGUGAGACCUACAAGUCGAGCAGGGACGAAAGUCGGUCUUAGUGAUCUGACGGUGCUGAGUGGAAAGGCCGUCACUCAACGGAUAAAAGUUACUCUAGGAUAACAGGCUGAUCUCCCCCAAGAGUUCACAUCGACGGGGAGGUUUGGCACCUCGAUGUCGGCUCAUCGCAUCCUGGGGCGGUAGUACGUCCCAAGGGUUGGGCUGUUCGCCCAUGAAAGCGGUACGCGAGCUGGGUUCAGAACGUCGUGAGACAGUUCGGUCCAUAUCCGGUGUAGGCGUUAGAAUAUUGAGAGGAGCCUUCUUUAGUACGAGAGGACCGAGAAGGACAUACCUCUGGUGUACCAGUUAUCGUGCCAACGGUAAACGCUGGGUAGCUAUGUAUGGAGUGGAUAACCGCUGAAAGCAUCUAAGUGGGAAGCCCACCUCAAGAUAAG